AUUGAACGCUGGAGGUAUGCUUAACACAUGCAAGUCGAACGCGAACGUUUCUUCGGAAAUAAGUAGAGUGGCGGACGGGUGAGUAACGCGUAGGAAUCUACCUAGAUGUGGGGGAUAACAUGGAGAAAUUCAUGCUAAUACCGCAUAUGUCCCACGGGAUAAAGAGGGCCUCUUCUUGAAAGCUCUUGCAUUUAGAUGAGCCUGCGUCGGAUUAGCUUGUUGGCGGGUAAUGGCCCACCAAGGCGACGAUCCGUAGCUGGUCUGAGAGGAUGAUCAGCCACAUCGGGACUGAGACACGGCCCGAACUCCUACGGGAGGCAGCAGUGGGGAAUAUUGGACAAUGGGCGAAAGCCUGAUCCAGCAAUACCUCGUGUGUGAAGAAGGCCUUAGGGUAAGCAUUUAUUGGACAGGUUGUAAGA
rnacentral:rRNA from 1 species